UAGCUAGUUGGUGGGGUAAGGGCCUACCAAGGCGACGAUCGGUAGCUGGUCUGAGAGGAUGACCAGCCACACUGGAACUGAGACACGGUCCAGACUCCUACGGGAGGCAGCAGUGGGGAAUAUUGGACAAUGGGGGCAACCCUGAUCCAGCAAUGCCGCGUGUGUGAAGAAGGCCUGAGGGUUGUAAAGCACUUUCAGUGGGGAGGAGGGUUGAUAGGUUAAGAGCUAAUUAACUGGACGUUACCCACAGAAGAAGCACCGGCUAACUCCGUGCCAGCAGCCGCGGUAAUACGGAGGGUGCGAGCGUUAAUCGGAAUUACUGGGCGUAAAGGGUGCGUAGGUGGUUGAUUAAGUUAUCUGUGAAAUUCCUGGGCUCAACCUGGGACGGUCAGAUAAUACUGGUUGACUCGAGUAUGGGAGAGGGUAGUGGAAUUUCCGGUGUAGCGGUGAAAUGCGUAGAGAUCGGAAGGAACACCAGUGGCGAAGGCGGCUACCUGGCCUAAUACUGACACUGAGGCACGAAAGCGUGGGGAGCAAACAGGAUUAGAUACCCUGGUAGUCCACGCUGUAAACGAUGUCAACUAGCUGUUGGUUAUAUGAAAAUAAUUAGUGGCGC
rnacentral:rRNA from 1 species